rnacentral:rRNA from 1 species
AACGAACGCUGGCGGCAUGCCUAACACAUGCAAGUCGAACGAAGGCUUCGGCCUUAGUGGCGCACGGGUGCGUAACGCGCGGGAAUCUGCCCUUUGGUUCGGAAUAACAGCUGGAAACGGCUGCUAAUACCGGAUGAUGACGAAAGUCCAAAGAUUUAUCGCCAGAGGAUGAGCCCGCGUUGGAUUAGGUAGUUGGUGGGGUAAAGGCCUACCAAGCCGACGAUCCAUAGCUGGUCUGAGAGGAUGAUCAGCCACACUGGGACUGAGACACGGCCCAGACUCCUACGGGAGGCAGCAGUGGGGAAUAUUGGACAAUGGGCGCAAGCCUGAUCCAGCAAUGCCGCGUGAGUGAUGAAGGCCCUAGGGUUGUAAAGCUCUUUUACCCGGGAAGAUAAUGACUGUACCGGGAGAAUAAGCCCCGGCUAACUCCGUG